UUUAAUUGUUGGUGAAUGGUCGAUUCACAAUAAGAAAGUUGGCAGAAUCUGAAAGUUUUGUUUUUGGUUCUGCGUUUCUUAACAGUUGUGACUUACGUGUCUGUCUAGUACUCAAUGUAGCUCAAUAUGUUAAUUAUUUACUCUAAUCUCUUGCUUGUUUCUUGACCAUAAUACAACAAACAGAGCGGUAGAAUCCAAUGAGAUGUGGAAGACUCAGGAGCAAGAAAACGAAAGGCUCAAAAUAAAAUCAAGAGAGGAAAGCAGCAACAGCAGUAGCCAAAUGAAGUGGAGUAGUAGUUUCUCGAAAAGGAGUUUGGAUAAGAAAUGUAGCUCCAUUAACGAGGAGAGAAAGAUCACUCAUCAAUCAUCAUUGGACAAAAGAUUGUACUUGGAUGAUGAUGAUGAAGGUUUAGGAGAUGAUGAGAAUUGAGUCUUUUCUCCAAUCACGGAACAAACGUGGGAGAGGCUCUGUUGGUCCUAGGAUGGAUGAAAAUGUCCCUUAUCUUCCCACCGAGAAGGUUGAUCAAUUGCAAAGUUCUGAUACAAGGGAAAGGAAGGUAGUCUUGCUGCAGCUUGGGCUCUAGCUAAUCUAUAUUAUCUUGCAUGUUAGAAAGCUCUUAUAAGGGUUUAUAAAACUAUUUAUAAGAACUUAUAAAUCAUUUUUAAGGUUUUAAAAAUAUAUUUAUAAAAGUUUAUGAAUCUGUAUAUAAGGUUUGUAAAAAUAUUAUAAGAGUUUAAUAAUCUUCAUAACACAAUUUAUAAGAGUUAAUAAAUCUUUUUUAAGAGUUUAUAAAUCUUUACAAACAUUUAGAAGUAAAAUAUUCAUAAAGCUAUUAUAAGUGUCUAUAAUUCUAAUAUAAAUGUUUGUAAAUUAUUUAUAGUAAAUAAAAGAUUAUUUAUAAUGGUUUAUAAAACAAUUAAUAAGACUUUAUAAAAUCAGUCUAUAAGGUUUUUUAAAUAUAUUAUUAAAGUAUAAUUCAUUUAUAAGAGUUUAUAAAAUCCGUUUAUAAGGAUUAUAAAUAAUUAAUAAAUGUUUAUGAAUGAUUUAUGAAGAUUUAGAAAUCAUUUAUAAAUAUUUAUCAAUAGUUUAUAUAUAUUCCUCAUGUGGUGGAAAACAGCAAGAUGAUGUAGCAGAGGUUUGUGGGGAUAUUGAGUUUGCUGUAUAGUUCAUAGCUAAGAAUAAGAGCGAGUGUCUCCAAGAAGAAUGGGGAGUGUUGGGGAAGUCUCCGGAGGCGGCUUUAGAUGUGGAUCAGACGAUCUUCGUGGUUACGGCGGAAGACGUGGAGAGGAGCAAAAGACGGUGUUAUGGGCAGCAAGAAACUUCUCCAGCAAGAAGAUUUGCUUGCUUUACGUCCAUCGUCCUGCUUGGCCUGCCUCCUGCAGUGAGAAUCUUAUGCUUCUCUUUCUCUCUGACUUAACUAUUUUGUGGUGAAUUAUAGAAUAUUUAUGGAUGUUGAAUUGUUCUUGAGUGUAGAUUUGCUCAUGAAUCAUGAUUGAAUCUUACCGAGUCUAUAUAUAUAUCCUUUAGUUGAUUGUGGAUGAUGUUAAUGAUGUACCUCUGUUUGCUAAGAAAAUCUGAGAAAUGAUAUAAUUGUUUUAUAAAGAAGAGGCAGAGAAACCAUAUCAAAUUAUAUCAUCAUAAUAAAAUCCUUAUAAGACUUUAUAAAGAUAAUAAAUAAUUUAUAAAUAUUUAUAAAUCAUUUAUGAAAAUUCAGAAAUCAUUUAUAAACCUUUAUCAAUAGUUUAUAUAUAUAUUCCUAUAAAUGAUUUAUAAACCUUUAUAAAAUCACUUAUAAGAAUAUACCAAAUAUUUAUAAGGUUUUAUAAAAUCAUUUAUAAAUAUUUAGAAAGGUAAUUUCAUUUAUAAAGUCUUAAAAAUCAUUUAUAAGAUUUUAUAAAUCUUUACAUUUAGAAGUAAAAUAUUCAUAAAGCUAUUAUAAGUUUAAAAAGUAAAAUCGAUGAUAUAAAUACAUGAAGAUGCUCGUUACUAAUUUUCUGAAAAACGAAACUAGAGUAAAUGUAAAGUACAAAUGAUUUACAGCUUACAAUCACUUAUAAGAACACGUGUUAUACAUAUAUAUAUUACAGAAAGACAUGUGUCUUGUUUCUCUUAUAUGUGUCAAAAACAUAUAUAUUACAUAUAAAAACACGUGUCUUAUCUCUCUUUCUGCAACUCCAAUCUUCUUGAAAAUUGUGUUUCCUUCUGAAAACAUAAAAACAUAAGGCUAAAUAUAUAUAUUGUUUUACGGUUUCUUUUAUAAGGCCUUAUAAAUAUAAAAAUUGUAAUAAAUACCUCAAGCGGAUUACCUUUAUAAAAUCACUUAUAAAUUUUAUAAGAGCUUAUAAAACCUUGUAUCAACCAUCUAUAAAGUUUUUAAAACAUAUAUAAAUAUUUAUAAGAUUUUAUAAAUCUUUUUCAAGAGUUUAUAAAUCUUUUUCAAGAGUUUAUAAAUCUUUUAUAAGAUUUUAUAAAUCUUUACAUUUAGAAGUAAAAUAUUCAUAAAGCUAUUAUAAGUUUAAAAAAUAAAAUCGGUGAUAUAAAUACAUGAAGAUGCUCAUUACUAAUUUUCUGAAAAAAGAAACUAGAGUAAAUGUAAAGUACAAAUUAUUUACAGCUUACAAUCACUUAUAAGAACACGUGUUACACAUAUAUAUUACAGAAAGACAUGUGUCUUGUUUCUCUUAUAUGUGUCAAGAACAUAUAUAUUACAUACAAAAACACGUGUCUUCUCUCUCUUUCUGCAACUCCAAUCUUCUUAAAAAUUGUGUUUCCCUAUGAAAACAUAAAAAUAUAAGGCUAAAUAUAUAUAUAUAUAUAUAUAUAUAUAUAUAUAUUGUUUUACGGUUUCUUUUAUAAAACCUUAUAAAUAUAAAAAUUGUAAUAAAUACCUCAAGGGGGUUACCUUUAUAAAAUCACUUAUAAAUUUUAUAAGAGCUUAUAAAACCUUGUAUCAACCAUCUAUAAAGUUUUUAAAACAUAUAUAAAUAUUUAUAAAACUAUUUAAAAGGGUUUAUAAAACUAUUUACAAGAACUUAUAAGCUAUUUAUAAGAGUUUUUACAUUUAUUUAUAAGUGUUCAUAAAUUAAUUUACAAGGUUUAUAAAUCUAUUUAUAAGAGUUUAUAAAUCACCAAAUUAACCAACUUUUCACUAUUUCUUUGCUUAUUAAGGAACAUCAUUCUUUUACAGUUUCUUUUAUAAGGCCUUAUAAAAAAGUAUAAUUGAGUAUUGAGAUGAUUGAGUAUUGAGAGAUACUUGAGGUUUCUGAAUUUAUAAUGGUUUAUAAAAAUUUAUAAAGGGUUUACAAAACCACAAUGUUAGAUGAACGUCUCAGUUCUGCAGAUGCACAUAAUAUAUCCAGACCAGAUAUAUAGCCUUCUAGGACCUUUCUCACAGAAAUAGCAAAAGCCUGAUUAACAAGAGUAUAGUGGCUCUUGUUAUUGGCUUCUUCAUUUUCACCUACUUUACAGCUCCCCCAUGUCCCUCAACUUCCAACUUGAAGUUCAUGAAAUGGGUCUACGAAGUUAUGGAGAAGAAAGACCAAAGAACCAAAACAGCCUAUGUUUCAAAGAAUCUGUCCCAAGGCGUCAGUGCUUGAUAACCAAUGCCACAAGCUCAGACUUUUGUGGGUUGUCCUAUCAGCUGGCUCAGAGCAUAAUCCAUAAGAGAGCUUAUGUAUGCUAAUAAGAGAAGAACACCUUGCAGGGCAUUCAACGCCAACCUAACCAAACUUAAUUCCUAUUAAAAAGCAACAAAAUUGUCAGAGAAUGUGGCCAAAAGUAGAAGUAGUCUCAAUAUACUUCUUUCAUUUCAUCUAAGCACUAAAGAUAUUCCAUUGUUCUGUAAUUGAUUACUAAGAAUAGAAAUCUGAGAACAUGACAUCGUAAUCUUCCCUAAGAUAAUGAUUUCGUCGUAACUCAAUACAGUACAUCGAGUACUAAACUCAAAUCAAUAAAAUUGAUACUUCUUUUCCCCCAAAUCAUUUCCUAUUAGGUUUCCGAUCCUAGCCACUCAAGUGAAAUGCAAAGCUCAUGUUUCCACGCAUACAAACAUGAAAAGCGUAAAUGGUGAACUUACAGAGGCAAAUGAAGAAGACGGAGGAGAAGCACGAGUUGGAAGAAGAAAUUGGCAGCUCUGAGAAUGUAAGGACUCUCAAUUACUUGGUGGAAGGUAAAGCUCCUCCUGUUUGAGCUUCUCCAGAAGCGAAUCAAUGCUCGUCGCCACCGUCAUUAUUUCUCAAUCGAGGAGAAAGUGAGAGAUCGUCUUGUUCGCCUGAGCUUGUAGAGUUUUUCAGCUUCGUCGGAGAAUUCGUCAGCGCCGUCCGGAGAACUCGUCAGGAUCGUCGGAUUUGAUCACCGUCGAAUUCGAAAUCAAUCUGGAAACUCUCAGAUUUGGAAUUGAGGGAGAACGAGAGUAAUUUAGGUUUAAUUAUUCAGGGGUAUAAUGGUACUUUGUCUAUUAAAAUUUUAAUGGUAAA